rnacentral:rRNA from 1 species
AGUGAACGCUGGCGGUAGGCCUAACACAUGCAAGUCGAACGGCAGCACAGGAGAGCUUGCUCUCUGGGUGGCGAGUGGCGGACGGGUGAGGAAUACAUCGGAAUCUACUCUGUCGUGGGGGAUAACGUAGGGAAACUUACGCUAAUACCGCAUACGACCUACGGGUGAAAGCAGGGGACCUUCGGGCCUUGCGCGAUUGAAUGAGCCGAUGUCGGAUUAGCUAGUUGGCGGGGUAAAGGCCCACCAAGGCGACGAUCCGUAGCUGGUCUGCGAGGAUGAUCAGCCACACUGGAACUGAGACACGGGCCAGACUCCUACGGGAGGCAGCAGUGGGGAAUAUUGGACAAUGGGCGCAAGCCUGAUCCAGCCAUACCGCGUGGGUGAAGAAGGCCUUCGGGUUGUAAAGCCCUUUUGUUGGGAAAGAAAUCCAGCUGGCUAAUACCCGGUUGGGAUGACGGUACCCUAAGAAUAAGCACCGGCUAACUUCGUGCCAGCCGCCGCAGUAA